rnacentral:lncRNA from 1 species
UGACUUUAGUGAAAUCCUCUCCAGUCAAAAACACCAGGUUAUACAAUGAGUUGACGACAAAGUUGGGAAAGCAUUGAAGAAAUUUGUAGAGAAGGAAGCAAAGGUGAGAGAGAAAGAUGAUUGCAAUGGAAAGGAAGGUGUCUGGCAAAGGAGGGACCAAUUCUUCAUAUUAUUUGGCAAAGAGAACUUCUCAAAAACCUGCCUGAAGGAGCAGCUUGAUCUGAAGAGCAUUUUAGAAAGAGCCCUUGGCUGCAGCGUGGAGAACAGACUGGACACCAGCUAACCGCCCCAAACCACCAACAUCCCAAGAAGUCAGUAAGGACAAGAAUAUCCUGUUGUGAGGACUGGUGGAACUGGACUUUGCUGGGGACCAACUCGCUAACCCAUCAAUGAAGUACGAGUCUAGUCUUUUGCCUGAUGACUGAAUCUCAAGCCCGUCUAUGAAGGGCAAACCCAGCCUCACCUCAUCCAGCACCAAUGAACUCUUCCUUAAUACAACUCACCUCCUCCUCCCCCUUUCCCAUAAAAACCAUAAGCCCCUCUCCUGUAAUCGGGACACUAUUUGAGCUUCUAGCUGAAUCUGUGUCUCUUGAAUUGCAAUUCUAAUUCCUCACAGAAAUUUCUGUUGUUUGAAUUGUAGUGGAUUUUUCCUCUGUCGACACUUUCUGGCUGUGUGACAUGGGCAACUCAAUUAACCUCUCUG